AUUGAACGCUGGCGGCAGGCCUAACACAUGCAAGUCGAACGAGUGGCGGACGGGUGAGUAAUGUCUGGGAACCUGCCUGAUGGAGGGGGAUCACUACUGGAAACGGUAGCUAAUACCGCAUACCCUCAGAUGAUCCAAGAUGGGCUUAGCUUGUUGGUGGGGUAACGGGUAACCAAGGCGACGAUCCCUAGCUGGUCUGAAAGGAUGACCAGCCACACGGGAACUGAGACACGGUCCAGACUCCUACGGGAGGCAGCAGUGGGGAAUAUUGCACAAUGGGCGCAAGCCUGAUGCAGCCAUGCCGCGUGUAUGAAGAAGGCCUUCGGGUUGUAAAGUACUUUCAGCGGGGAGGCGUUACCCGCAGAAGAAGCACCGGCUAACUCCGUGCCAGCAGCCGCGGUAAUUC
rnacentral:rRNA from 1 species